GAUGAACGCUGGCGGCGUGCCUAAUACAUGCAAGUCGAGCGAAUGGAUUAAGAGCUUGCUCUUAUGAGGUUAGCGGCGGACGGGUGAGUAACACGUGGGUAACCUGCCCAUAAGACUGGGAUAACUCCGGGAAACCGGGGCUAAUACCGGAUAACAUUUUGAACCGCAUGGUUCGAAAUUGAAAGGCGGCUUCGGCUGUCACUUAUGGAUGGACCCGCGUCGCAUUAGCUAGUUGGUGAGGUAACGGCCCACCAAGGCAACGAUGCGUAGCCGACCUGAGAGGGUGAUCGGCCACACUGGGACUGAGACACGGCCCAGACUCCUACGGGAGGCAGCAGUAGGGAAUCUUCCGCAAUGGACGAAAGUCUGACGGAGCAACGCCGCGUGAGUGAUGAAGGCUUUCGGGUCGUAGAACUCUGUUGUUAGGGAAGAACAAGUGCUAGUUGAAUAAGCUGACACCUUGACGGUACCUAACCAGAAAGCCACGGCUAACUACGUGCCAGCAGCCGCAGUAA
rnacentral:rRNA from 1 species